GAUAAACGCUGGCGGCGUGCCUAAUGCAUGCAAGUCGCACGGGGUGUCCCUUCGGGGGCAUCGAGUGGCGAACGGGUGAGGAACGCGUGGACAACCUACCCCGGCGUGGGGGAGUACCCGCCAGAAAUGGCGGCUAAUACCGCGUACGGUCCAUGGGCGGAGGGCUCGUGGAAGAAAGCAGCGAUGCGCGCUGGGAGGGGUCUGCGGCCGAUUAGCUUGUUGGCGGGGUGACGGCCCACCAAGGCGAUGAUCGGUAGCUGGUCUGAGAGGAUGAUCAGCCACACGGGGACUGAGACACGGCCCCGACUCCUACGGGAGGCAGCAGCAAGGAAUUUUCCGCAAUGGGGGCAACCCUGACGGAGCAACGCCGCGUGACGGAUGACGCCUCUUGGGGUGUAAACGUCUUUUGCCGGGGGAGAGAACGGACGGUACCCGGCGAAUCAGGACCGGCUAACUACGUGCCAGCAGCCGCAGU
rnacentral:rRNA from 1 species